AAUUCAAGUUAGCCAACACAUUGCCAAUACUACUACUAUCGUAUUACCAACACCACAACAAAAACCAGUUACAAUAAAAAGAAUUAUACGGCAACUUCAUCUACAACUUACCAUACUGUCAACGAAACAUCGAAAAUGUGGGAAAAGUGUACAAAUAGUUAUCACAUUUUAUGGCGUGUAUUAUAACGAUUAAAUCAUGCAAUCAUGUGGCCGAUGAGAUACGAAAACAUGACUCGCGAUGAAUGUAGAAAAUGUUUACGAUGUUUAGAGUUAGAAGCUUAUGGAAAUAUGGUGUCUGUCUUACGUGCUCAAGGUCCAUUUACUAGUGAAAAACAAAAGUUGCUACAAGAACUUGCUAAAGUUUUACAUAUUUCUAAUGAGCGACAUCGUGCUGAAGUACGAAGAGCUGUUAAUGAUGAAAAAUUAGCAACAAUAGCUGAACAAUUAAGUGGUCCAAAUACUGGUACUGAUUGGACUAUUGAAGGUCGUCGUGCUAUUCCACUUUUGCCAAGAUUAAAGGCUCGAUCUGCAUUCACAACAUUAGCAAAUAGUUUAUCCCUUGCAACAGUAGCAGCAAACAAAAGGAAUCUUCCUCUUCACGAGAAAACAGAGGAUGCAAAAGAUAUUAGAAAUGAAUCUCCCUUGAAGAUUAAAGUACAAGAAAACUCUUUUAAUAAUCAUGAGAUUGCAUCUAAUAAAGAUAAGUUAAGUGAUGAAAAUGUUUUAACUGAGGUUACUGAAUCAGAUAGGAAUAAAGAAAUUAAUAAUCAAAGCAAUACUUCUGAUGGCAGUGAAAAAUAUAUUGUUUCUGAAAAACGUAAACCUUCUUCUCCUCUUUCACCAACACUUCCAAAUAAGGUUUUGGUAGUAUCUUCAAGUUCAAUAGGAGCAAUUAAUCAUGGUACUACUGAUAAAGGAUCAUUUGAAAAUACUAUUCAUUUAUCACGAAUGCCUACAAAUUCAUUGCAGCAUCAAAAUGUCACUAUAAUACCAUUAAAUAUUAAUUGUGGAGAAAGUGAUUCGGAAUCUAAGGAAUUAGCAGUGCAAGACAGUGAGAGUAAUCAUUCGAUAAUUUCAUCUAGUAAUUUUAUGAAUACAGUAAUUCCAAUAGGUACAACAAAUAUUACAAAAGCUAAAGGAAGAAUUAUUACAACACAAAACAAACUUAAUACAAAAAUUGGACCAGCAAUUUUAGUGUCUGGCAAUGUAUCAUGUGCAUCUGGAAAUAAUUUUCAAUCUGAUAUACAAGAUACAUCUAUACAAGAUAAUUUAAGUCCUAAAACAUCGUCCAUAUCUCAUAAUUUACAAAAAGCAUCAUGUUCAGAAAAUUCAAAUUCAAUUACAAGCAACACAAAACGUAUUGUGCCAGUAAUACAUUCUAAUGUAAAAUCUCCAAUAACUAAAACUAUUACUUCAAAUAAUUCACAUCGACUGAUGACUGUUUGUCCUGUUACAACAGUUUCUAAUGGACCAGGACCACCUCAAGCUAAGCAGAUAACAACGUUAACUUGUAAAAAAUUACCUACAACGCUCAAUAAUCAAAGCACUGCCAAGAUGGGUGUUACAUUAAAUUCUAAUAAAACUGUAAAUAUAUCUCACCAUCCUGAUACAAAGUUAGGAUCUAAGACAAAUGUGAUUGUUAUACAAAAGGGUCAAACCAAAGGUGUAACUCUUUCUCAAGCAGGCAAGGAAGUAUUAGGAAAAGUAAUAAUGGGUGGAAAAAGUUUGUGUGUCACGAGUCAACAUAACACCUCCAUUAAUGUAGUACCACGCCAUGUUACGUUGAAUAAUGGAGAUCAAGGUUUAACUGUAUUAUCCACAACAAACUCGUCUCAUACAGAAUCUAUAACACCCAAUAUAAAGUCUGGUAAUACAAUUAUGUUCAAUCUUCGGCAGGAUGUUCUGGAAAAAAAUAAGGCACUCUCUCAUCUUCUUGAAUCAUCUAAUGUUCUUACCUCUGAAUCUAAGACUGUGAUACAAAAUACUAAUGCUCUUCUUUCAAAAGAACCAAGUAACAGUGAUUUACAUGUACAGGAUAAAGAGCUAGUUGUAAAAACCGAUGCUGUAAUUACUACUGUUAAAGAUGAGACACACAGGAAGUAAAAAUAUGUAUGCAAAUAUACAUUUUUAUUUAACGAAUUAUAUAUGGAGAUCCUAUGAAAUAUUCAAAAAAUAAACAAAUAUUUUCAAAUUCAAACUACAAUGUAAAUAUAUAAGCCAAAUCGAGCACGCAACGAAAUUUUGCACAUAUGAUAUACAUAUAUACGUUAAAUAGAAAAGUUUAUGAUUCUGACAUUUGCUCACGCUUUGUAUCAUUAACAUAAUGCAUGUAAGAUAUAAACAAAAUCUUUAAAGAUCUAAGUAGGAUAUUAAGUAAAUCUUAUAUAUAUAUAUAUAAUAUAUAUAUAUAUAUAUAUAUAA
rnacentral:misc_RNA from 1 species